rnacentral:sRNA from 1 species
CCUUAGCCCAGAUAGAAGUGGAAAUCCUUUUAUGCUCAUCCCGACACUUCGGGAUAGCAAAAAGAUUGUAGCGGAUAGCUGGAAAAAGC